rnacentral:rRNA from 1 species
UAGGGAAUCUUCCACAAUGGACGCAAGCCUGAUGGAGCAACGCCGCGUGAGUGAAGAAGGUCUUCGGAUCGUAAAACUCUGUUGUCAGAGAAGAACACGUAUGAGAGUAACUGUUCAUACGUUGACGGUAUUUAACCAGAAAGUCGCGGCUAACUACGCGCCAG